GCACAGCCCAGGGCUCCCAGCAGCCCGGCGCCAAGGUAUAGCAGUGCAGGAACCUCCCUCCUGCUGGGGCUCAUUUACAGACCAUCCUUGUCUCCCAAGGAGAUUACUCACAUGGGGAGAGUGGAGCACAAGGGUGGCCCACUCUCCCUACCUGCCCAGAACACAGGUCUUCCUGGGCUAAACCAGAAUGACUGGUCACCCCAAGAGACCUAGCAGAGACUGGGCCAGCAAUGGGCAUCGCCACUGUCAUCAGCAAAAGGCUGGGGACAGUGAGGCUGACGCCCCCCCCACUCCCCAGGCUCUUCCCAGCACCCUGACUUCCUGCUUCUCAGUCGUUUUCCUUCCCUCAUUAAACCCACUCUGAAUUCUCCCAGUGAGACCCACUGUCAUUUUUAAACAGGCAGUAAACUGAGCCAUGGGGAAAAAAGAAUCCAGGGAAUCUUGUAACACCAUGGGGGAAAGCCCUCUGCCCAGGAUGUGGUGCAGGGUGGUGUCUGCUUGUGGGUCCCGGGCAGCCCAGACCCUCCUGACAAGAGACCAAGCUUGCUGGGUGAGGUGGUGCACUCUUGGAAUCCCAGUGACUCAGGAGGCUGAGACAGGAGGAUCUCAAGUUCAAAGCUAGCCUCAGCAACUUAGCAAGGCCCUAAGCAACUUGGCAAGACCCCAUCUCAAAAUAAAAAGGGCUGGGGAUGUGGCUCAGUGGUUAAGUGCCCCUGGGUUCAAUCCUGAAGUAUUAAAAAAAAAAAAAAAAAAAAAGCCAAGGCUGUAGGCCUCUUGUCUAAUGAGCUCUCCACUCUGAGCUCACCACCAGCCUUCCAAAGACAGCUACUACCAUGGACUUGAGGCUAGGAGACAGGAAAGAAGCCUGCUGAGGGCUCUGCCUUCCUUAGACCCCACAGCUAGCUAAGGACUUUCCAUUGCUGCGGACAGGCAUCCAGAUGGUUCCGAGGCAGGUGGAAGGCUGCUUGGCUGACAACAGAUGGUGCCAGCAUCGCAUCUCAUUGUCCCAGGGUCUGCGCAGUCUGCAGACCUCACUGAGGGCUAGAAUCUUAACUCCUCAGUAUUCCUGCAUUUUCCCUGUGUACUGCAAUCUAAUGAACAGUUUAUGUGCAGGAAUCUUAAUUUAUUUUUUAUAUUUCCUGAUAGAGUGACUGGCAUGCAGUAGGCGCUCAGACUUGGCGAGUGAAUGAGCCAACAACGAGCUGACGCAGAGGCCAUGCAGGCUGCCUGGAGCUUCCCCCACCUGCCUUGGUGCCUAUCUAUGGUACUUCCGCUCUUGCAGCAUGGGCCCCUGGGGAAAUGCUUGCCCAGUUGGUGGCAUCUCCCUGUCCAUGUCAUCACAUGGACUUGCUGGCCCAUCUCCCCACACUGUGGAGGUGACCGGGCUUGGUAUGGCGGAGAAGAGCCAGAUGGGUGCAUCCCUGGAAUUCUGCUGUUCCCUGGAGCCAUGCAGAGUUCCAGCUCAGUUCUCUGUUGAAAACCAGAGGCUCUGAAACUCUGGCUGCCUGAUGGUUCAGUUCAGUGGCCACAUCCAGAGGAUGCACUGGGUCUUGGCUUUCCCUACACCAGUGCUUCUUAGCUGGGGGCAAUUUUACAAUUGCCAAGAGCAAUUUGGCAGUGUCUGGAAACAUCUUUGGUGGUCGAGACUUGGAAGGAGAGGAGUUUGCUCCUCUCAUGUAGUGGAUAGAGACCUGGGACGCUGCUGAAUACCCUACAGUGCCCAGGACAGCUCCUGCAACACAGAAUUGUUUUCCCAAACAUCAGUAGUGCCAAGGUUGAAAACCCUGCUCACAGCCAUGAAAAUGAAUCUUCCUAUUCCCAAGACAGGGACUCACGUUCUCACCCAAGUAUAAUGUGUGAUAUUUUCAUGAGUCAAAGCACCAAAUAGUUAGAGUGAGGUCUUUGCCUUUUCUGGCAGGUCACCUACAGGCCUCCCUGGCAGGGUUAAAGUCCCAUGUGCAACCACUGGAGGGCAGCAGUGAUUUCUCCCGGUUUAUUGGACGAGCCUCCAGUUUCCUGACCAGGAGCCCCUGGCCUGGGGCAGCCCUGGAGGAGCAGCCUGCUGUUAGGAAUGUGGAAAUGGGAUCACAGGUGCUGAAGGAGCUGGAAGAUGGCUUUUCCUUGUGAAGUGUGCAAGAGGAUUUUAAAAAGCGGGCCUUGUGAGUCCCAGGGCCCGAGGCAGGGUGGCUCCCUUCUUCCUCUGCUGAACCCUGCCUCCUUCCCCAGUUCACUCUGAUCCAGGACCAGGAGCCAGGAUGAGACCUCUCCCUCCACACUCCCUGCCCAGGAAUCCCAGCUAUGUGCAGACCAGGCCCUGUGGGCCAUCCCGGCUCUCAGGGCACCCCAAAGCAAUGGCUACCUGGGCCACACCUUGAGUCCAUCUGACAGUAGUGGACACAGCUCUCCUUUCUCAGAACCUAAGAGUUCUUCCUCCCCUACGGCCUUCCCGUCAGAUACUGGCAGACCCCUUCUCUCUCAGGGAGCAGAGGGUAUGCUAAGGUGGGUGGCCAGAGAUUAAGGACCCAUCUCCAGCUCCAUCUACAGGCAGUGACUACAGGCUCACCACGCAGCUGGGGGUGAGAAGAGUCCGCACUUGGGCCUGGUGACCUCUGCCUUUCACAGGGCUACUGUGAGCUAAUGAAAGUGAAGGCACAGGCAACGGCAGGGCACUGUGUACGCAUGCACCCACAGCCAUGGUGCCCUCUGCAGGGGAGGGGCAUCUCCCUGAGCUGGGCAGGAUGGCCCAAUACAGAGCCCGGGUGCUG
rnacentral:lncRNA from 1 species